rnacentral:misc_RNA from 1 species
AGGUAUAACAUGUUCGAUCUUGUUUGACAUAUGUUUGUUUCUUUCUUUUAAUAAUUUCUUCUAGCCUUUGCUCUCUUUUUCUAAUAAUUAUGGUGCAUUUUGUGGCAUAAACUAAAUCCCUAGAGAUUAUUUUAAUUUUGGAUUAAAAAUGGUGUUCAUUGUACUGAGGGAAUUUUUGUGCCUUUUCAUCAUUGUUUUAUCUUUCAUUUGUAGGAGAUUUGAUUUUAGUUAGGACAUCCAAUACUUUUAGAAACAUCAUAAACUUGAUGGACAAAAAAUCUGAUAUUGUAUUAGGGCUUUGGGUGUCAAUAUGGUCCUACAAAAAGAUAAGUGACGAAAAAUAGAUUGAGACCACAUUGUUAUGGAUGGGCUUUCAUUGUUUUAAGUUGAUCUGGGCUCUGUUUGUUUUUCAAAAAUACAUAUGAUUUUGCUUGUACAUAUUUUGGUGUUUGUGACACCUAGGAGAAUGGGGAAAAACUGUUUUCUUGGUCAAAGACUUCUAAUUCUCAAAAUGGGAAGUCAUUUUUUAUCACAAAUUUAUAAGAAGGGAAUGAACUUAUGUAGUAAUUGCAUAGGCAUGCAAUAACCACUGGUCAUUGCUGAUUAUCUUUGCUCAUCUCACAUUUCAUGUGGCUUCUGCCAGGCGCUAGUGACAACCACCAUUGAUCUUUAUUUUUAUUUUUUCCCCUU